GUGGGGUAACGGCCUACCAAGCCGAUGAUCCGUAGGGGGCGUGAGAGCGUGGCCCCCCACACUGGCACUGAGACACGGGCCAGACUCCUACGGGAGGCAGCAGUGAGGAAUAUUGCACAAUGGGCGCAAGCCUGAUGCAGCAGCGCCGCGUGAGGGACGAAGGCCUUCGGGUUGUAAACCUCUUUUCUGAGGGACGAGGAAGGACGGUACCUCAGGAAUAAGUCUCGGCUAACUACGUGCCAGCAGCCGCGGUAAAACGUAGGAGGCGAGCGUUAUCCGGAUUUACUGGGCGUAAAGCGCGCGCAGGUGGCUUCGUGAGUCGGACAUGAAAGCUCCUGGCUUAACUGGGAGAGGCUGUUCGAUACUGCGGGGCUUGAGGUUGGGAGAGGGACGCGGAAUUCCCGGUGGAGUGGUGGAAUGCGUAGAUAUCGGGAGGAACACCAGUGGCGCAAGCGGCGUCCUGGCCCACACCUGACGCUGAGGUGCGAAAGCGUGGGUAGCAAACAGGAUUAGAUACCCUGGUAGUCCACGCUGUAAACGAUGUCAACUGGGUGUCGGUAGUUUUACACUAUCGGUGCCGAAGCUAACGCG
rnacentral:rRNA from 1 species